AUUGAACGCUGGCGGAAUGCUUUACACAUGCAAGUCGAACGGUAGAGGGGGCAACCCCUUGAGAGUGGCGAACGGGUGAGUAAUAUAUCGGAACGUGCCCAGUCGUGGGGAUAACGUAGCGAAAGUUACGCUAAUACCGCAUACGAUCUACGGAUGAAAGCGGGGGACUCGCAAGAGCCUCGCGCGAUUGGAGCGGCCGAUAUCAGAUUAGGUAGUUGGUGGGGUAAAGGCUCACCAAGCCAACGAUCUGUAGCUGGUCCGAGAGGACGACCCAGCCACACUGGAACUGAGACACGGUCCAGACUCCUACGGGAGGCAGCAGUGGGGAAUUUGGACAAUGGACGCAAGUCUGAUCCAGCCAUUCCGCGUGCAGGAUGAAGGCCCUCGGGUUGUAAACUGC
rnacentral:rRNA from 1 species